ACUCACUCUACCAUCUUGUCACAGCACUUACACUCUUAGGGCCCCUGGGAUAUCUAUUAAUCUGACUAUAUCCUGUCACCCUUCUGGGCCAAACCAUUCUGCUGGCAGAUCCCAUGUGGGAAGAGAGUGAGCAGGGGAGGGUCCAUUCCCCAUCCUGAGGUUGUUGGUGGAAGACGUUCACAGGAUUCCUCCUUCAGAAUGGGCUUGCAUUUCCUGUACACACAGCGAUGGCUGGGCAUCCUGGAAGUGGGGCAGGCAGCUGAAGAACAGAGAAGCAAGGUUUCCACCUCACCCUACCGUACACAUGCUUUGGACUUUGGAAUCGAAGUUCAGGGGGCAUCUUAGACCUGCCAGUUUGAGGACGGACUCAGUCAAGAGGCACAGCGGGGGCCCCUGUGCAGGAUGCUCAUACCGGGCUAAAGAGACGAGCACUCAUGCGAGGUGGGAUGUUACAAAGGUCCCUACAUCUCUUGGUGCUACCCUUGAGAACCGGACCCAGGCCUACAAAGCUCCUCCAAACCCAGACAAUAGAGUCCUUCAAUGCCCAGCUUCAAAAAUGGGGAGGUAAUAAAGGUAACAGGUGGACGGACAGUCCCUUACAA
rnacentral:lncRNA from 1 species